CUGGUUGCCUACCCUUUCAAACUAUGCUGUGAUCACUUAUUUAUCUUCUUAUCACGAACAGCUGCUACCCAUAGAACAUACAACAGAGCAAGACAAGAAACGGUAUAACAUUGCCAUAAGAUUAUAUAGCCCUAGAAAGUCUAUAACUCCAACAAUUAAGAGAUUACUUCUGCUUUACCUCUCUUUAAAAACGGAUAGCUCAUAAAUCUUAACAUAAAAAAAACUCACCCCAUGCAGUCCUCCUAUCAUUAUGACCCUCUUCUUGAGGCUAAAAUCAAACUUCGGAAUCAUUUCAUGUGUGAAAUUGUCACUAAACGUCCAUCAAAACCUAGCCCACUGAGACUUGUUGGUAUUAUCUCCAGCUGCUGUCAUCGUGUAAACAGUUUCCACGUGCGUGUUUUAACAGGGGCCACUCCAACGUCUGGUAUCCCAAUCGAAAUAUCUCGCAUGAUUUGCGUGUGAAUAGUGGUCUAUUAACAGCGUCGGAAGUACCGUUUUUCCCGCAUUAUUUAUUUACAAUGCACGUGACUGGUCUCACGAUUGCAGUGAAAAUUUUGUCCUGGCUUUUCACUGCAAGCUACGCAGCAUCGCGUUUCCACGGCUUUACAAUCGGACAGUUUUUCUCUCGAGGGUUAAACUAAAAUUUAUGAAAGAACGAAUCUUGAUAAACGGAAAAUAAGCCAUGCUUUUAAUGCAUGAUUCAACACAACAUACCUGGAAUCAAUGCGUAAUUGAUAAAAUGCAAAUACACUGCAGUCAUGUCGAGAUUUCGAUGUUUCGGAUGAGAGCUACUGCGUUGGACGAUUGCGAGGAAAGCAAGGCUGUUGUAGAAAAUCAAUUGGAAUCUGAGGCCCACUUCAACUCGGUUUUACACCGAGUAUUCUAUUAUUUAAAAUAUUACGAGGACUAGGUAGGUAGGUGUAUACCUAACUAUCGACUGAUAAAUUGACGUAAAGUAAUAGAUUUUAUUUGUAUGAUUAGCUGAUAGUGUGGUGUAGUUUGGUCCAUUUUGUCCCAUCAUAAUCAAUUGGGUUUUGGUAAUGACAAUUUACGUAAAUACGUGUGGGCGAAUUAGAAGUUAUAAAUAGCCCCGCUCUAAUUUAAAUAUUAGGUAUUUCUAUAACUACUAUAGGUGGUUAAAAUCAAAUACAAGCAAAAAUCCUAUUUGCUAGUCCAAUGUUCACUUGUAAAGUUUAAGUGAUGCAACAGAAACAAACGGAAUAAAUAAAAUAUUUGUGUGGCAUUGACAGUAAAUUAAGGUUUAUCCAUGGGCGCUGACUACAGAGGUGCAUCGAGGCAAAUGCACCCAUUAAAAUUUAUUAAUGGAUCCGGGACACCUAUUGAAAAUAAUGUUUUCUUGCUUAAUUUAAAAUAUAACAAUAGUUGCCAAUAAAAACCUGGAAUUUCGUAUUUAUUCUGUUGAAAAAUUCUACAUAAUAAGCUUUUUGCAUUUUUUUGGUUUUUUGUUGGAUUAAUUAGGUAUUAGCAUGUCAGGGCUAGUAGUAAAAAUGCUAAAAUUUACUGAAACUGAAAAAAUUCCAAACUGGAAGAGGGCUAUAGCAUAAGAACUGUAACAGACUAAUACAAUUUAAACCAAAGCACAGUUUUUAAGAGU